CGGGUCUAGACUUGUUAUUGCUUGUUUAGCAGAUGGGGAUUUCUGAAACUUACUCCUCAGGACUUGAACUCCAUUGAAAACCUGUGGCUUGAAUUGAAGAGGGCAGUCCAUCAGUGCAGACAUCCAAGAUGUACCACCAUAUUUGACAGUAGACCACCACAUCCUUCCACAACCUAACCUUCCUACCUGCCUUUCAAGCUCCAACUCCUAAACCUUAAUCAACAUCCAUUCCAAACCCUUCCCUAUGAAUUCUGUGUUCCUGUUCCACUGUGUAUUAAAUACCCUAAACCUAGAUUCCUAAUCUCCCUCCCCUCAUUGCAUUUUGACCGAUGCGCCAUGUUGGCAGCAGAAAUCCUUAACCAGUC
rnacentral:lncRNA from 1 species